rnacentral:rRNA from 1 species
GACGAACGCUGGCGGCGUGCCUAAUACAUGCAAGUAGAACGCACAGUUUAUACCGUAGCUUGCUACACCAUAGACUGUGAGUUGCGAACGGGUGAGUAACGCGUAGGUAACCUGCCUGGUAGCGGGGGAUAACUAUUGGAAACGAUAGCUAAUACCGCAUAAUAUUAAUUAUUGCAUGGUAAUUAAUUGAAAGGUGCAAUUGCACCACUACCAGAUGGACCUGCGUUGUAUUAGCUAGUAGGUGAGGUAACGGCUCACCUAGGCGACGAUACAUAGCCGACCUGAGAGGGUGAUCGGCCACACUGGGACUGAGACACGGCCCAGACUCCUACGGGAGGCAGCAGUAGGGAAUCUUCGGCAAUGGACGAAAGUCUGACCGAGCAACGCCGCGUGAGUGAAGAAGGUUUUCGGAUCGUAAAGCUCUGUUGUAAGAGAAGAACGGGUGUGAGAGUGGAAAGUUCACACUGUGACGGUAGCUUACCAGAAAGGGACGGCUAACUACGUG